rnacentral:rRNA from 1 species
UACGUAGGGUGCGAGCGUUGUCCGGAAUUAUUGGGCGUAAAGAGCUCGUAGGCGGUUUGUUGCGUCGGCCGUGAAAACCUGCAGCUUAACUGUGGGCCUGCGGCCGAUACGGGCAGACUUGAGUUCGGUAGGGGAGACUGGAAUUCCUGGUGUAGCGGUGGAAUGCGCAGAUAUCAGGAGGAACACCGGUGGCGAAGGCGGCCACCUGGACGGUAACUGACGCUGAGACGCGAAAGCGUGGGGAGCAAACAGG